ensembl:snoRNA
CAGCCUGAAAUGAUGCUGUGAAUUCAUGUCUCUUCUCCGAGAUGAGUUCUGAGGACAACCGGAUGCGUUUCUGAUCAGGCUU